GAUGAACGCUGGCGGCGCGCCUAACACAUGCAAGUCGAACGGCACCCCUCCUCGGAGGGAAGCGAGUGGCGAACGGCUGAGUAACACGUGGAGAACCUGCCCCCUCCCCCGGGAUAGCCGCCCGAAAGGACGGGUAAUACCGGAUACCCCGGGGUGCCGCAUGGCACCCCGGCUAAAGCCCCGACGGGAGGGGAUGGCUCCGCGGCCCAUCAGGUAGACGGCGGGGUGACGGCCCACCGUGCCGACAACGGGUAGCCGGGUUGAGAGACCGACCGGCCAGAUUGGGACUGAGACACGGCCCAGACUCCUACGGGAGGCAGCAGUGGGGAAUCUUGCGCAAUGGGGGGAACCCUGACGCAGCGACGCCGCGUGCGGGACGGAGGCCUUCGGGUCGUAAACCGCUUUCAGCAGGGAAGAGUCAAGACUGGACCUGCAGAAGAAGCCCCGGCUAACGACG
rnacentral:rRNA from 1 species